rnacentral:rRNA from 1 species
CUUGCUCCACCGAAAGAAAAGGAGUGGCGAACGGGUGAGUAACACGUGGGUAACCUGCCCAUCAGAAGGGGAUAACACUUGGAAACAGGUGCUAAUACCGUAUAACAAUCGAAACCGCAUGGUUUCGGUUUGAAAGGCGCUUUUGCGUCACUGAUGGAUGGACCCGCGGUGCAUUAGCUAGUUGGUGAGGUAACGGCUCACCAAGGCAACGAUGCAUAGCCGACCUGAGAGGGUGAUCGGCCACAUUGGGACUGAGACACGGCCCAAACUCCUACGGGAGGCAGCAGUAGGGAAUCUUCGGCAAUGGACGCAAGUCUGACCGAGCAACGCCGCGUGAGUGAAGAAGGUUUUCGGAUCGUAAAACUCUGUUGUUAGAGAAGAACAAGGAUGAGAGUAGAAUGUUCAUCCCUUGACGGUAUCUAACCAGAAAGCCACGGCUAACUACGUGCCAGCAGCCGCGGUAAUACGUAGGUGGCAAGCGUUGUCCGGAUUUAUUGGGCGUAAAGCGAGCGCAGGCGGUUUCUUAAGUCUGAUGUGAAAGCCCCCGGCUCAACCGGGGAGGGUCAUUGGAAACUGGGAAACUUGAGUGC